rnacentral:rRNA from 1 species
CACGUAGGGGGCAAGCGUUGUCCGGAUUUAUUGGGCGUAAAGAGCGUGUAGGCGGCCAGGUAGGUCCGUUGUGAAAACUCGAGGCUCAACCUCGAGACGUCGGCGGAAACCAUCUGGCUAGAGUCCGGAAGAGGAGAGUGGAAUUCCUGGUGUAGCGGUGAAAUGCGCAGAUAUCAGGAAGAACACCCGUGGCGAAGGCGGCUCUCUGGGACGGUACUGACGCUGAGACGCGAAAGCGUGGGGAGCAAACAGG